rnacentral:rRNA from 1 species
AACGAACGCUGGCGGCGUGCUUAACACAUGCAAGUCGAACGAGAAAGUCCUUCGGGAUGAGUAGAGUGGCGCACGGGUGAGUAAUACAUGGGAACGUGCCCUUUGGUCGGGGAUAACCACGGGAAACUGUGGCUAAUACCGGAUGGUCUCGCAAGAGUAAAGGUGGCGUAAGCUACCGCCAUUGGAUCGGCCCAUGUCCUAUCAGCUAGUUGGUGAGGUAAUGGCUCACCAAGGCGAUGACGGGUAGCUGGUCUGAGAGGAUGAUCAGCCACACUGGAACUGAGACACGGUCCAGACUCCUACGGGAGGCAGCAGUGGGGAAUUUUGCACAAUGGGGGAAACCCUGAUGCAGCAACGCCGCGUGAGUGAAGAAGGCCUUCGGGUUGUAAAGCUCUUUAGACAGGAAAGAAGGGGGAUUGGGUGAACAAUCCAAUUCUUUGACGGUACCUGUAGAAUAAGCACCGGCUAACUC